AUUGAACGCUGGCGGCAGGCCUAACACAUGCAAGUCGAACGAGUGGCGGACGGGUGAGAAAUGUAUGGGCCCCUGCCCGAGGGAGGGGUAUGACUACUGGAAACUGUAGCUAAUACCGCCUACCAUCAGCUGUGCCCAGAUGGGAUUAGCUAGUUGGUGGGGCAACGGCUCACCAAGGCGACGAUCCCUAGCUGGUCUGAGAGGAUGACCAGCCACACUGGGACUGAGACACGGUCCAGACUCCUACGGGAGGCAGCAGUGGGGAAUAUUGCACAAUGGGCGCAAGCCUGAUGCAGCCAUGCCGCGUGUAUGAAGAAGGCCUUCGGGUUGUAAAGUACUUUCAGCGGGGAGGCGUUACCCGCAGAAGAAGCACCGGCUAACUCCGUGCCAGCAGCCGCGGUAAUUC
rnacentral:rRNA from 1 species